rnacentral:rRNA from 1 species
CCUACGGGAGACAGCAGUAGGGAAUAUUGCUCAAUGGGGGGAACCCUGAAGCAGCAACGCCGCGUGGAGGAUGAAGGUUUUCGGAUUGUAAACUCCUUUUGUUAGAGAAGAUAAUGACGGUAUGUAACGAAUAAGCACCGGCUAACUCCGUGCCAGCAGCCGCGGUACUACGGAGGGUGCAAGCGUUACUCGGAAUCACUGGGCGUAAAGAGUGUGUAGGCGGGUUAGCAAGUCAGAAGUGAAAUCCUAUGGCUUAACCAUAGAACUGCAUUUGAAACUGUUAUUCUAGAGUAUGGGAGAGGUAGGUGGAAUUCGUUGUGUAGCGGUAAAAUGCGUAGAGAUCAAGAGGAACACUCAUUGCGAAGGCGACCUGCUAGAACGUAACUGACGCUGAUGCGCGAAAGCGUGGGGAGCAAACAGGAUUAGAUACCCUAGUAGUC